UACGUAGGCAGCAAGCGUUGUUCGGAAUUACUGGGCGUAAAGCGAGUGUAGGCGGUCGGCCAAGUCUGUUGUGAAAUCUCCCGGCUCAACUGGGAGGGUGCGACGGAAACUGGUCGGCUAGAGUGCGGGAGAGGAGAGUGGAAUUCCUGGUGUAGCGGUGAAAUGCGUAGAUAUCUGGAGGAACACCGGUGGCGAAGGCGGCAUCCUGGACCGGCAUUGACGCUGAGGCGCGAAAGCCAGGGGAGCAAACGGG
rnacentral:rRNA from 1 species